GCUGGGUGUGGUGGCAUGCACCUGUAGUCCCAGCUACUUGGGAGGCGGCAGUAGGAGAAUCGCUUGAACCCAGGAGGCGGAGGUUGCAGUGAGCUGAGAGCAUGCCACUGCACUCCAGCCUGGCGACAGAGCAAGGCUCUCUCUCAAAAAAAAAAAAAAGAAAAGAAACAGGGUCUCGCUCAGGCUGGAGUGCAGUGGUGCAAUCACAGCUCACUGCAGCCUCAAACUCCUGGGCUCAAGUGAUCCUCUUGCCU
rnacentral:sRNA from 1 species